rnacentral:rRNA from 1 species
AGAAACUGCGGAGGAUCAUUG